UACAGAGGUCUCAAGCGUUGUUCGGAUUCAUUGGGCGUAAAGGGUGCGUAGGCGGCGCGGUAAGUCGGGUGUGAAAUCUCGGAGCUUAACUUCGAAACUGCAUUCGAUACUGCCGUGCUUGAGGACUGGAGAGGAGACUGGAAUUUACGGUGUAGCGGUGAAAUGCGUAGAUAUCGUAAGGAAGACCAGUGGCGAAGGCGGGUCUCUGGGCCGAUACUGACACUGAGGAGCGAAAGCGUGGGGAGCGAACAGG
rnacentral:rRNA from 1 species